UACGUAGGGUGCGAGCGUUAAUCGGAAUUACUGGGCGUAAAGCGUGCGCAGGCGGUUCGUUGUGUCGGCGGUGAAAGCCCCGGGCUUAACCUGGGAAUGGCCGUUGAAACUGGCGAACUGGAGUGUGGCAGAGGGGGGUGGAAUUCCGCGUGUAGCAGUGAAAUGCGUAGAUAUCAUGAGGAAUACCAGAGGCGAAGGCGGCUACCUGGACAAUUGCUGACGCUCAGGCACGAAAGCGUGGGGAGCAAAAGGG
rnacentral:rRNA from 1 species